CCCAGGUGCCCCGAGAAUGACCUUUUUUUCUGAACUUAAACCUCAUCUUUCUGAGGCUUCUAAUUAUUUUGACAAUAAUGACUAAAAUUUUUAUUGAGCAGUUAUGCCCCAAUCAUGUGCUAAAUGGUUUACAUACAAUAUCUCAUUUCAUUUCCACUUUUCCUUGAGGGAGUCACUGGGACAUUGGAGAUGUGGGGCAUUAAGCCCUUAUUUGGAGGCAGUCUUAUUAAAUACAACUUAUUUAACUUCUCUGAAUUUUAGUUUCUUGAGAGAAAUGUGCAUGCAAAGACAAGGCCAGGCAAAGACACACCUGAUUUCUAGCUGGGGCUUUGAUUGCAUAGUUGCGGUUGAACUGCAGUCUGGUGAGUAGUGUGAAUCCUCAGAGUCAGAACAUUGGCUUGGGCGGGUCCAAGUGGCUGCCUUUCUUCUUGGUUUCACUAUGGUUCUUUGCCGUUGUUUGGCGUGGGGUGGAGGUGUGGAGGCAGGACGGAAGCCCCGAGGCUCUAGUCUAGAUGACCCAAGAGGAAUGGAAGCGAAGAGCCGUGUGGGAGGAUGCAUGGCCGGGAACAGCCGCUGGGAAAAGAACAGGCUUUGGGAUUCUGCGUCUGGUGAGAGGCCCAAUGUUGACUCCAUCAGGCUUACUCGCACUCGCCGACACCGCUAUCUCAGGGAAUUAAACAUACAAGACCUCAUCAGGUUAUGUGUCUUAAAUGCGCACCUGUUCGGCUAGCUGCUAAGACUGAUUUUUUUUUCCUGUUGAUUAUUGUAUCAGUCAAGAUUUGAUGAGAGAAGUGGAAUGUCCGUGAGCUAUAGAGAGAAGAGGGGCUCUGUCCCUGGGUCCGAGCGCCCGUGCCAGUGGGAGGUCAGUCUGCGGUCUGUGUAAGGUGCCGUCCUGUGUCUCAUCUGGGCCGGAUCAGGGAGGGCCAGUGGGGAGACAGCCCGGAACCAUGUCUGGCCCUCACUGCCUGCCUUCUCCACGAUGACCUGGAGGGGAGACCCGAGGGGCAAGCUGCGGCCCUCAUCCCAGAGCCGCAUUCACCUGGCCUGGGAGCUGGGUUUGCUGCAGGCCCAGCGGCCGCCCCACGCCAGCAAGGUGGGCCCUGAGCCUCCUUCAGAGCAGAACAAGAUGGCAGUGCUUCUCCUGUGCCUUCCAAACCUUCCGAAUGCCAUACAUUCCUCUAGGGCCCUCGCUGACCCGGGACCCUAGAAGGACGGGAAUCCUGGGAAAUGCAGCUGCGUGGACCCAGCCCCCAGCCAUCACGACUGUUCACACUCACAGCAGGUUCACUUCCCUUUAGCUCUUCUGUUCUUCUCUUCAGGCAGGUGGCAGGAGGCCACCUGUGAGGGCCGUGCUAACAGGGUGCCACAGACCAAGUGGCUGAAACAACAGAGUCUUAUUUUCUCACAGUUCUGGAGGCCAGAAGCCCAAGGUCAAGGCCUCUGUCCUCGGCUUCUGGAUAAUGUCUCCUCAGCAUCUUCCUUCUCUGCCUGUGUCCUUACGGCCUCUUGCGGGUAGGACAGGAGUCCUACUGACUCGGCCCCCUCUGAUGACCUUCCUUUACCUCAGCCACUUCUUGAAGGACCUGUCCUCAGACACAGUCCCAUUCCGAGGUGCUGGAGGUUAGGGUUUCUCCGUCUGAAUUCUUCGAGGACAGGGUUCAGCCUUUAACUCUUUCUCACCCUCGUUACCUCGUGGUGAAGGAUCAGGCCCGUCUUCUGCCAGCUGCUCCGCUCUUCCGUCUGGCUCUCGUGGAAGGCAGCUCCUGGGCUUUUUGGGGAAGGUGGAGGACGUGAUUUGCUGAGAUCUGCUUUCCUGCGCGUCGCUGACCUUGCCCAGGCAGCGAGCAUUCCUCCGCGACACACAUUCCGACUUGGUCAGAUCCCAAAGCAGCAAAUCCAGGGGGGAUUUUUUUUUUUUUUUCAAUUUUUAUUGCAUGCAGAAUUCCUCGCAUAGCGGAGAGCUCGGGAAGGAAGGCCCUGUUCGGGGACAGAGGUCAGGCCUUCAGAGUUCAGGGCCUUCCAGAAAGGGUCAGGCCCUCCUCCGCUGAUCCCAAGUUUGCUGGAUUAGAUUCUGAAUUGAUGUAUCUAGAAUGAACUGGAACACAAGUCCCGAAUGCAAUUUAACCCUUGUGCUUUGUUUUCUCCCGUCCCUAAGCUCUCAGCGGCAGGGAGGGCACACGUAGGAAGGGGCAGAGACAAGCAGAGCAAGGAUGAGGGUUCCGUGGCUCUCACUGUGCAGGACAACAGUCCACUGGGUCCUGCCUGCGCCCCCCCCCAACUCUUCCCCCAGCGGUCACGGGCAGUGGGCUAAGGGCUGCCCUGCCUGCCAGGAAGCAGGGUCUGUGAGCUCGAGGCUUCCCCGAGUCCUGUCUCCUGCCCUCCCGCUAGAAAUGGGGAGAGCAGGCUGGGAAACCCG
rnacentral:lncRNA from 1 species